GGACCCGCACAAGCAGUGGAGCAUGUGGUUUAAUUCGAAGAUACGCGCAGAACCUUACCAACGCUUGACAUGUUCGUCGCGAGACUAAGAGAUUAGUCUUUUCAGUUUGGCUGGACGAAACACAGGUGCUGCAUGGCUGUCGUCAGCUCGUGUCGUGAGAUGUUGGGUUAAGUCCCGCAACGAGCGCAACCCCCUACUUUUAGUUGCCACCAUUUAGUUGGGCACUUUAAAAGAACUGCCAGUGAUAAGCUGGAGGAAGGUGGGGAUGACGUCAAGUCCUCAUGGCCCUUAUGUGUUGGGCUACACACGUGCUACAAUGGCACUUACAAUGGGAUGCGAAGGGGUGACUCUUAGCUAAUCCCUAAAAUGUGCCUCAGUUCGGAUUGUACUCUGUAACUCGAGUGCAUGAAGCUGGAAUUGCUAGUAAUCGC
rnacentral:rRNA from 1 species